GAGUUCAGAGAUACAGUGUGUGAUUACUGUCCUGCUGGUUCAUAUUCAAAUGGUACAUUCUGCAAAUUGCAUACAAACUGUGCAUCUCUUGACAAAAUAACAAUCAAGGAAGGAACAGAUAAGACUGAUGCUGAGUGCAGUAACAGAGCACCUUAUUUACUGCCACUGAUUCUGUGUGGAGUGUUUUCGCUGUCGUUUAUUGUCAUAAUUGUAA